rnacentral:rRNA from 1 species
UACGUAGGGGGCAAGCGUUGUCCGGAAUCAUUGGGCGUAAAGCGCGUGUAGGCGGUUCGGUAAGUCUGCUGUGAAAGUCCAGGGCUCAACCCUGGGAUGCCGGUGGAUACUGUCGAACUAGAGUACGGAAGAGGCGAGUGGAAUUCCCGGUGUAGCGGUGAAAUGCGCAGAUAUCAGGAGGAACACCAAUUGCGAAGGCAGCUCGCUGGGACGUUACUGACGCUGAGACGCGAAAGCGUGGGGAGCAAACAGG